rnacentral:rRNA from 1 species
AGAGUUUGAUCCUGGCUCAGGACGAACGCUGGCGGCGCACAUAAGACAUGCAAGUCGAACGAACUUAACCAUUAGUUUACUAUUGGAGCGGUUAGUGGCGGACUGGUGAGUAACACGUAAGCAACCUGCCUAUCAGAGGGGAUAACAGUUAGAAAUGACUGCUAAUACCGCAUAAGCGCACAGUACCGCAUGGUACGGUGUGAAAAACUCCGG